CCUACGGGAGGCAGCAGUGGGGAAUAUUGGACAAUGGGCGCAAGCCUGAUCCAGCAAUGCCGCGUGAGUGAUGAAGGCCUUAGGGUCGUAAAGCUCUUUUACCAGGGAUGAUAAUGACAGUACCUGGAGAAUAAGCUCCGGCUAACUCCGUGCCAGCAGCCGCGGUAAUACGGAGGGAGCUAGCGUUGUUCGGAAUUACUGGGCGUAAAGCGUACGUAGGCGGUUAUUCAAGUCAGAGGUGAAAGCCCGGGGCUCAACCCCGGAACGGCCUUUGAAACUAGGUAGCUAGAAUCUUGGAGAGGUCAGUGGAAUUCCGAGUGUAGAGGUGAAAUUCGUAGAUAUUCGGAAGAACACCAGUGGCGAAGGCGACUGACUGGACAAGUAUUGACGCUGAGGUACGAAAGCGUGGGGAGCAAACAGGAUUAGAUACCCUGGUAGUCCACGCCGUAAACGAUGAUAACUAGCUGUUCGGGCACUUGGUGCUUGAGUGGCGCAGCUAACGCAUUAAGUUAUCCGCCUGGGGAGUACGGUCGCAAGNUUAAAACUCAAAGGAAUUGACGG
rnacentral:rRNA from 1 species